GAUGAACGCUAGCUACAGGCUUAACACAUGCAAGUCGAGGGGAAACGACAUCGAAAGCUUGCUUUUGAUGGGCGUCGACCGGCGCACGGGUGAGUAACGCGUAUCCAACCUGCCCACCACUUGGGGAUAACCUUGUGAAAGUAAGACUAAUACCCAAUGAUAUCUCUAGAAGACAUCUGAAAGAGAUUAAAGAUUUAUCGGUGAUGGAUGGGGAUGCGUCUGAUUAGCUUGUUGGCGGGGUAACGGCCCACCAAGGCGACGAUCAGUAGGGGUUCUGAGAGGAAGGUCCCCCACAUUGGAACUGAGACACGGUCCAAAACUCCUACGGGAGGCAGCAGUGAGGAAUAUUGGGUCAAUGGGCGAGAGCCUGAACCAGCCAAGUAGCGUGCAGGAUGACGGCCCUAUGGGUUGUAAACUGCUUUUAUGAGGGAAUAAAGUGAGCCUCGUGAGGCUUUUUGCAUGUACCUUAUGAAUAAGGACCGGCUAAUUCCGUGCCAGCAGCCG
rnacentral:rRNA from 1 species